UCAUGCAACCAUAAAAAAUCGCGUUGCAAUUUUGGGUUUGCUUGAAGCUUUACAUAUUCACGUAGCUAGUUUUUACACUCGUGAUGGAUAUUUUCAAAAGUUCAAAAAAAUAUUUGGCAUUCGAAUUCAGCUGUACUUCCGCAGUUUUGAAAGCAGCGCCCAGUUGUAAAGCCGGAGAAGUGGCGAAUUACGUUUUUGUGUUGCUCACUAAGUCGCAUAAACUGAAAAUCUUGCUGUGCAAGAACACCUGCUCCUCUUUAAUGUACAUUGCGGUCGAAGCCGGGAUUGGUCGGAAGUCACACACUUAAUGCAUUAUCGAUUCCAUUAUGGCCUACUAGUUAAACGCCAGAACAACACAACAAUGGGCAAUCUGAAAAGUUGAUUUCGUUUUAAAUUUUUGUAUUUUUUUUCAAAAUUCAACAUGAAUUUUUCGGCUGGUAAACGCGCGAAGCACCGUCUUUCCAAAAAGCUUUCGCAUACCCGGUCGAUUUCUAUGGCAGCUAUAGUAAAUUAAGCGAUUUGUAUGUAUAGUAUGUGUUGCGAUUUGUUCGGCACUUAAUAUAAUAUCUACACAUACUCUGUUCUGCGUUUAAAUAUAAGAAAUAAUUAAGAUGUUUAGUUCGUUUCGAAAAGUAAAAAAAUCGUAUUAGUUAAUUUAUUAAGUUUAUGAAUCCUAAAAUUUCUUUAGGUGAUACUAUUUAAUGAAUAAAAACACGUCCAUUUGAUCUAAACUAUGUUUUUUGUUUUCGUAUUUAUUAAUGUUCAGUACACGUCUGUACUUAUACAUAAAAAUAUGAAUAUGAUUUUUAAUUUUUCUUGUUAUGACAUUUACAUGCAUUUACAAAAUAAGCACUUUUGAAAAUACCGCAAAAUUCAGUUUUCAUUAAAAUCUAAACAAAAGUAUUCUAAGU